UAGAAAGGUAGAGGCGCGGACUUUAUCAGUAGCAAAUCGGACAUGACAGGAUGGAUGAUGAUUUGUGAAAGGAACGUCUGCCGAAGGAGAGGAUUGCCUGCACAUGAUUCUUCUGGGCAUAUGGUAAAUAAUCAUAUGACUGUCAUCGCUAUGAUGGAGUGCUACUCGUUAU
rfam:Clostridium sp. CAG:62 genomic scaffold, scf181